AAUCAACGCUGGCGGCGUGCCUCAGACAUGCAAGUCGAACGUGAAAGUUCCUUCGGGAAUGAGUAAAGUGGCGCACGGGUGAGUAACACGUGGGUAAUUUGCCUUCGGGUGGGGAAUACCAACCGGAAACGGUUGUUAAUACCGCAUGAUGCAGCGGCUCGACAUCGAGACAGUUGUUAAAGCGGGGGAGCGGAGCAAUCCGUCCUCGCGCCUGAAGAGAAGCCCGCGGCGGAUUAGGAGUUGGUGAGGUAAUGGCUCACCAAGCCCGCGAUCCGUAACCGACCUGAGAGGGUGGUCGGUCACACUGACACUGACAUACGGGUCAGACUCCUACGGGAGGCAGCAGUCGGGAAUUUUGGG
rnacentral:rRNA from 1 species